rnacentral:rRNA from 1 species
AGAGUUUGAUCCUGGCUCAGCCUGAACGCUGGCGGCGUGGCUAAGACAUGCAAGUCGCACGGGCCUAGCAAUAGGUCAGUGGCGCACGGGUGAGUAAUGUAUCGCUAAUGUACCCUUGGGCCUGGGAUAGCCAUCCGAAAGGGUGGGUAAUACCAGAUGAAAUAUCCGCUGGGCAUCCAGUGGAUCUCAAAGCAGCAAUG